rnacentral:tRNA from 1 species
GGGAGUUUGGUCUAGUGGUAUGAUUCUCGCUUCGGGUGCGAGAGGCCGAGAGUUCGUUUCUCGCACCACCCU